rnacentral:rRNA from 1 species
UGGGGAAUAUUGCACAAUGGGGGAAACCCUGAUGCAGCGACGCCGCGUGAGCGAAGAAGGUUUUCGAAUCGUAAAGCUCUGUCCUAUGGGAAGAUAAUGACGGUACCAUAGGAGGAAGCCCCGGCUAACUACGUGCCAGCAGCCGCGGUAAUACGUAGGGGGCAAGCGUUGUCCGCAAUCACUGGGCGUAAAGGGUUCGCAGGCGGAAAUGCAAGUCAGUUGUGAAAGGCAGAGGCUAAACCUAUGUAAGCAAUUGAAACUGUAUUUCUUGAGAUGUGGAGAGGCAAGUGGAAUUCCUAGUGUAGCGGUGAAAUGCGUAGAUAUUAGGAAGAAUACCGGUGGCGAAGGCGGCUUGCUGGACACAAACUGACGCUGAGGAACGAAAGCGUGGGUAGCAAACAGG